UACGUAGGGUGCGAGCGUUGUCCGGAAUUACUGGGCGUAAAGAGCUCGUAGGUGGUUUGUCGCGUUGUCCGUGAAAACUCACAACUCAAUUGUGGGCGUGCGGGCGAUACGGGCAGACUGGAGUACUGCAGGGGAGACUGGAAUUCCCGGUGUAGCGGUGAAAUGUGUAGAGAUCGGGAGGAACACCGGUGGCGAAGGCGGGUCUCUGGGCAAUUCCUGACGCUGAGGCGCGAAAGCGUGGGGAGCAAACGGG
rnacentral:rRNA from 1 species